ensembl:lncRNA
UUUUUUUCUUUUUUGCAGUGUCUUCACAUGCAACAUCUCUCUGAAUGUGCAAUGUCUUUCCUGCUCGGGAGUGCUGCGUCCUUCACAGUGGAUUGGUUCCUCUUUCGGAACAGAGCAUAUCUGGAGAUCUUGAAGACUGAACUGUUGAGGAUUCGCAGCUGGAAUCAAAAUGAGAUCUGUUUUGAACAUGUGAAGUACCAGAUCAUGACAUGAAGUUGCAUCAAUAUGAGUUUGGUGAGCCGUACAUACAGAGGAUAGAGUUGCUAAUGAAGAAUGUGCUUCACAGGAGUGCAUCUGAGAUGAGAGCUUGAGCCUGAUGCAGAAGACCUGACCUUAAUUCUGUGUGCAAUUCUACUUCCUGAUCACUAUGCAUUUGGAAUGAGACUUUAUGGACUUCAACAUCCUGGGAAAAAAGUCACAGGGAACAGAGUCAAUCUUUUUCUGGUUUGCCUUUAGAAGGCAAAGCAUAUCAAUUCCUAUGAAACCUAGUGCAUCACCUAAAUGUUUUCAAAAUACUCCUGCCUGUAGUAAAAUACUUUACACUGCUUCAAAAUUAUAACCAUCUAACUUGAAAAUAUUCUAUUUGGCAGCACAGAGAUGCUGGUAAGAUGUAAUGGAUAAGAAACCUCUUUCUUUUCUUUGGUGUGUCUUAUUUGAGAAAGCAGUAACUAGAUGUUAACAUAUCAAAAUUCUGCUUUGCCAGAAAACAUGCACUGAAACAGCAAUUUUUUCCAACAUUAAAAAAAAAUGUUGAAGUCUAUAGCACAAUGAAUCUAUGAAGUUACAGGAAAAUCAUCUAAAACAUCUUUUGCUAGUUUCAUAGCUUUUUUUUUUUUUUUUAAAUACAUUUAAGUAUAGCAAUCCACGGGCUAAAGAGUUCAAGGCACAAUCUUUCUUCUAGAACCAUCCUCAGCUUUCCAAUCGGCUUGCUUUCUCCCACAUCUUUAGAAGUAUGGCCCAUAGGAUGUCCACCACACUAUGCUCAUUCCAAAGAACGCAUCCUAAAAAAAGGGCUAUAAAUUAACAUUCUGAUGUCACAUACCUCUUAAACAGCUUCAUACUCAUUUAUGUUCCUAUAGGUGGACCAUUUCUCUUUGGUACAUGUAAGAAAUAAUUAUGAAACUGAAUCUGGACUUCCACAUAUAUGUAUCUGAAAAACAGAAACAGAGUCCAAUAAGAAAUAAUAUAUAACCCUUUGACUUUUUAAUAAAUUUUGACUGAGUAUACAGAAACUAUACGUAAAAACCUCACUCCAGGAUAGCAGUGGUCAUUUAACAUUGUAAUUAUAUUUGCAUGUAUAGAAGCAGAUUCCCUGAACUGCUUCAAUCGAAUUUGAAUGGUUUUCUCCACCUGAGAAACUGCACUCCACUUACAGGGAAAUUUUGCUCUGAUCCAAGAGAUCUUUUCCUUAUAACACAAAACUGUCACCCAUCACAUUAAAUUAUUAAAUACAUUUAAUGGGGCUUAUUAGUGUUUCUUCCUUAUCUGCUCUUCUCCGACUUGGUGAGGAAAGAUGUUGCCACUACUCACAUAAAGAUUUUAUUUUUUUGUUCUGGUUGCCAGUAACUAGAUCAGUCAUGAGGAAACAUGGGUCCAAAAAUCCUUCAGAUUUCAGCAAUUUGUAGUCUGCUUUUGGGGACUUAGCCAAUAAAUGCUAAAGAUGAAAGUCAGUGCUCAUACUUCCAUCCCCUCUUUUUUUAUCUGAAGAUAACCACAGCUCUUCUGUAUUAGGUGUCCAAAUUCAGCAAAGACUUAAGAGAACACAGUUUCCCAUUAGAUAUCUGUGUAACUAGUGGGCAUUAUCCUGCUUUAGGUCAGCAUUAUUAUCUUCAGAAGGGAAUUUUUACAUUUGCAUUCAAACCUAUGAUGGGUUCUGUUCUACCUUUCUUGAAAGAAAAGUCUGCAGUUUUAUUGGAACAAGGAUUGCCAAGAUCCAGCAGUAACUAAUGUCUCCCUUAAUGAAAACCUAGAGGAUUUACACACUGUUGUACUGUCAGCACUAGAAAAUAAACAAAACCUUUCAACCAAUUCUGAAAUGAAACAUAAGCUUCCUGCAACUCUAAAAUUAUGUUCCAGUGAUCAAUGGAAUAUUAAUUGUAACAUGGAUCCAAAAAACAUCAGAGAAACAGAACUGGAUGUAGAUUUUUUCCAUCAGUGGCUAAUGUAAACCUCACUUUGACUUAGGUGCAGAAAGUUGGUGAUUCUGUUUCUUAUCAUAGCCUCAAAAACACAGCAACAGCAUGGGUUUGUCAGGUAUUACACUGUCAGGUAUAAUGCUUCAAGAUUUCAGACCUUUCAUAUUUCUUAUGAUUUGUCAAACACUGCAUAGCUCUUCCCAAUCUUCUGAUUUGUCAUCAACUCAAAUCUCUCUUGCUAAUGAUUUUAUUAUACAGGGUAAAAUGUUUCUCCUGCUAGGCUCUACUACAGAGAACGAAGCCAAACAACAUAAAUUGGCUGAGGCAUCCAAUUUCCUGAAUUUUGCCUUGGAUAUCUAAGUUUCUUUAGUCUGCUAAUAUAAACUCACUUUGUGGUAGAGUCAAAGAAAGGGAAAGAUCAUUGGCUAGAUGGUAAAACAUCCAUACAGGUUUACCGUGUAACCUCUGCUCUACAGUUUAUAGCCUCCACUAAAGAGGCUCCUGCAUUCUGCAUGAUUGCUUCUAGUUAAUGAAAGUAAUGAAUAUAUAAAACAUUUUAAUAAAAAAUAGAGAAUUAAAA